GUUUACACAAAAUGUUUGUCCUUUUCCUAAGGAAACUGGGAAGGGAGAUUUGGAAUUUACCAAGAAGGACAAGGUGGUGGAGGAAGAGGGAAAAAAAGGAGAAGAGGAAGAGGAAGAAGGAGAAAAGGAAGAAGAAUGGCCGACGUUUAUCGAUUGUUACUACUUGCCAAACUCUCUUCUUUACGCGACUCCUACAACUAUUCGUGGGAGCUGUGAAAGAAAGACCCCAGAGAGGCAUUUAAAGUGACAUCAC